GUUUAUCUUCAAGAGCUCUGCACCUGGGUUCACUCUUAUCAUCCACCGUGACAAAAGAUACCACGGUUUCAUGUAACUUAUGAGAGGUUUAUAGAGAAGAGCACAGAGGAACAAUCAGAUUCAUGAAUGAUGGACACAGAAGACAAGACUCCAGGCCUGUUAAACUUUAUCGCUAAACUUGGACUGGAAAAAUUUUAUCCCAACAAGCUGACUCUGCAACUUCUAUUAGAAAUCAACAAAAGCAACACACAUAAUCACACUGUUCAAACAGUGAAAGAUAUACCAUGGUGCUUCUUUGGAAGAUUGUUUAAAAUCAAUGCAGAGUGCAGGGACUGCA